CCUACGGGAGGCAGCAGUCAGGAAUAUUGCGCAAUGGGGGAAACCCUGACGCAGCAACGCCGCGUGGAGGAUGAAGUCCCUUGGGACGUAAACUCCUUUCGACCGGGACGAAUAAUGACGGUACCGGUGGAAGAAGCCCCGGCUAACUUCGUGCCAGCAGCCGCGGU
rnacentral:rRNA from 1 species